rnacentral:rRNA from 1 species
GACGAACGCUGGCGGCGUGCUUAACACAUGCAAGUCGAACGAUGAAGGAGAGCUUGCUCUCCGGAUUAGUGGCGAACGGGUGAGUAACACGUGACUAACCUGCCCCUUUCUCUGGGAUAACGCUCCGAAAGGAGUGCUAAUACCGGAUACGAACUCUGAACACAUGUUCGGAGUUGGAAAGUUUUUCGGAAAGGGAUGGAGUCGCGGCCUAUCAGCUUGUUGGUGAGGUAACGGCUCACCCAGGCGACGACGGGUAGCCGGCCUGAGUGGGCGACCGGCCACACUGGGACUGAGACACGGCCCAGACUCCUACGGGAGGCAGCAGUGGGGAAUAUUGCACAAUGGGCGAAAGCCUGAUGCAGCGACGCCGCGUGAGGGAUGAAGGUCUUCGGAUUGUAAACCUCUUUCAGUAGGGAGGAAGCGAAAGUGACGGUACCUAAAGAAGAAGCACCGGCUAACUACGUGCCAGCCGCCGCCGUAA